rnacentral:lncRNA from 1 species
AACUCGAGUGCAUUGUAAAAUUCUACCAAUUUAUAAUGAUUGAAUUUUGAAAGUUUCCUUUUCUUAGUCCAUAAUUUUUCUUCUAAAUUUUGCAUUGAAUACUUAGUUUAUUAUUAUUAUUAUUAUCAUUUUAAAGAGAGAGUAGCAUUUAGGGGUAUGAUUUUUUUUCUUUGACAAUAGAUUUGAGUUUAUGCCAUACAUUUUGAAAGUGAUUAUUCUUUAUUUUUGAUUGCAGCUUAUUGAAAAAUUAAACAUUUCUAGGUGAUUAGUUUAAAUUUUUAAAAUUGCUUUUAAAUUUCAUUGAAUUAUGAAUAUUUGGACCCCUUUGAAGCUGCUGCUGCCCCCAAUCUUAGGAUUUUGGCUUUGUUAUGGGGUAGACAUGGAGGUUAUUAAGAGAUACUGGGUCUGAAAAUAGCCCAAAGGCAGGGGGACCACACCUCCUGGUUUGCUUGAGGCCAGAUGCAGUUUAUGUCUGAUGUUUGAAUGUAAUUAUUACAGCACCCCUUUUCACUCUUAAAGUAUCCUGGUAAAUUGUAUGGUCACCUAUACAAAGUUAUUUAAAAGGAUGAAAGCUCUCAUAACACAUGCCCGGCAACUGCUUCAGCAAGGGGACUUGAAGACAAACCUUUGACUACUCUCAAAUAGCAUCAGGACCAUUUUCUAGGACAUGCUAGUAGAUUUCAAACAUGUUUUACACCAUCAAAUAUCACUCUUCAACAACUGUUGGAAGAAUUUUCAACAAGAAGUACAGUCACCCAUUUCUUGGCCUGAGGGCUUCUCUGUCAGCACCCCCCAAUAAUGCUUUGCUCCACCAAGGACCUCAUUGCUUAGGGAAAGUGUAGUGAAGCUAUUUGUCACUUAAGGGUUUCAAGUAAGGGACACAUACCUUGUUCAAUUCUAUUUUCUGUUUCUCAGUGAAAUUGCCAUCAUUGUGCUUGAGAUCCUUUAAAAUCACUCGCUGCAAAGAUCAAUUGAAUUAAGGAGAUAAUGUUGUAGCAUGACCACUUAAAUACAUAUUAUAAUAAUUUGUGUGUCUGUCUUCCAACUAUACUGUAAGCUCUUGAGAACAGUGACGGUAUUUUAUUGAUGUUUAUAUCCCUGGUGCCUAGUACUUGGAAUAUGGGAGGCUCAAGUUUGAAUGUUUCUUUAGGAAUUACUAAAUGAAAAGGAAGGAAGGUAGGUAGGAAGGAAGAAGGGAAGGAAGGAAGGAAGGAGAGAAAGAUGGAAGGAAGAAAGAUGCAAUCCCCUAGUAUGGGACUGUCAUUUUCCCACUGCAAUGAGCCAAAAUAUAAUACUAGGGUUGCGUGGACAGCUCUGAACCUCUUUUGUUUUUCCUUUUCCUUCCUACACUCCACCCCUCUUAAAAAUUCUAUUUGUCCUUCAAUUUCCCCAGGAUUGUGAGUUUUGGAACCGCUGAAGCAGAGCCCUGCCCAUUCCUGUGAAAGGCUCCAAGAGCAGCCCCUUGGAGCAACCUGCACACCCACCCCAACCUUUGCACUGCCAACCUUGGAAGUUGGGGCAAUGAUGAGUCAGAAAGCCCAGAACAUACCCUGAGAGUUCAGAGAAGCAGGGGAGACUAUAGUCACCUUUUUGUCGUAUUUGCACUGUUGUAGUCUCUGAAUUGUAUCUCGUCUCUUGUCAUCAUCAAUCUGGCACAAGAAAAGGCUAAUUAUUCCAGAAGCUCAUAUCUUGUCCCAUCCACUGCCAGUCCAAAGCUGAGAGGCUCUGCCAGGCGAGCUAUAUCUGCUAUUCACUCACAGGAUGCUAGGCAGGCUCCCAGAGAGACUGUUAUAACUGACUUGUGUUUCCCUCUGCCUACUGGCCUUUCCUCGCCAACAAAACUUUCUUUCCAGGUAUCAAUCACUCUCAUGCUUAACUCUGGGUUCUCCUCCCUUCCACUUACUGUGCUACUUUUCCACCUUCUUAUGGCCUACUUCAGCCAAGGAUUUUCUUUGCUUCCUUCUCCCCCUGCCCUCCUCCUAUUGGAAAUCAUUGUCUGUAGCUACAUACAGAUGGUCUUAGGGGAGCGUGUUGUGCAUUUGGGUUGCAAACUCAUGCCUAAAGGCCCAAGUAGCAAUGUGAGGGAGGACACUGGGCCAGGUGUCUAAGGGGGGCAGCCCCAUCAGCUCUAGUCCAGCCUAGAGUGGCUAGAUCAUCUGACUUGUCAAAAGUAGUUGCUAAUAUGGAUUUUUCUAAGCCAUUCUGAGAUUUUUAUAUUUGGCAAUUAAUUUUAAAAUAUAGUAAAUAUUGAACAACACACACACACACACACACACGUACACACACACCCCUGCAGGCUAGACAUGGCUCUUGGUCUGCCAGACUUUGGUCUAAAGGCAAAAAAAAGUUAAGAACUAUUGCAUCUUUCAAUUUGAUUCUCAUAAAAACCUGUGAGGUAUUAUAAUAUUUUUAAAAAUUUACCUUUACAGGCAUUUUGAAAUGCUAAUGAAAUAAACUAUAUCAAGUCCCAAAUAUGAUGUUUGGCACAGUGCAGAUUAAUAAAUGUCAGUUGUCUUCCCUUCUCCUUUUUCUCACUUUACAAAUGAUGUGCAAAAGAGUUAAAUGACACUAAAUGUCACAUAAGAAUGUAUCGGAUCUAGUUGUGGUUUUGAUUUGCAUUUCCCUAAUAAUUAGUGAUGUUGAACAUCUUUUCACAUGGCUGUUGGCCAUUUUAUAUCUUCUUUGGAAAAAUACUUGUGACAACAUGCAUGGACCUUAAGGGUAUUAUGCUAAGCAAAAUGAGUCAGAUGGAGAAAGCCAAAUAUUGUAUGAUUUCACUCAUAUGUGGAAUAUAAAAUGACAACAAAUAAACACAUAGAUACAGAGAACAGAUUGGUUACCAGAAGGGAAGGGGGAAGAAGGGAGGGUGAAAGGGGUAAAAGGGCACAUGUAUAUGGUGACGGAUGACAGCUAGACUUUUGGUGGUGAACACAAUGUAAUCUACACAGAAGUCAAAAUAUAAUGAUGUAAAACUGAAAUUUAUAUAAUGUUGUAAACCAAUGUUACCUCAAUAAAAAUUUUGAAAAUCUUUGUCAUAGUAAUAUGUAAAAAAUUUAAAAAAUAAAG